rnacentral:rRNA from 1 species
GAUGAACGCUGGCGGCGUGCCUAAUACAUGCAAGUCGAACGAAACUUCUUUAUCACCGAGUGCUUGCACUCACCGAUAAAGAGUUGAGUGGCGAACGGGUGAGUAACACGUGGGCAACCUGCCCAAAAGAGGGGGAUAACACUUGGAAACAGGUGCUAAUACCGCAUAACCAUAGUUACCGCAUGGUAACUAUGUAAAAGGUGGCUAUACUACCGCUUUUGGAUGGGCCCGCGGCGCAUUAGCUAGUUGGUAGGGUAAAGGCUUACCAAGGCAAUGAUGCGCAGCCGAAUUGAGAGGUUGAUCGGCCACAUUGGGACUGAGACACGGCCCAAACUCCUACGGGAGGCAGCAGUAGGGAAUCUUCCACAAUGGGCGAAAGCCUGAUGGAGCAACGCCGCGUGGGUGAAGAAGAUCUUCGGAUCGUAAAACCCUGUUGUUAGAGAAGAAAGUGCGUGAGAGUAACUGUUCACGUUUCGACGGUAUCUAACCAGAAAGCCACGGCUAACUACGUG